rnacentral:rRNA from 1 species
AGUGAACGCUGGCGGCGUGCUUAACACAUGCAAGUCGAACGAGAACGGAUUAUAGCGUGCUAUAAUUGUCAGCUAAGUGGCGCACGGGUGAGUAAUGUAUAGGUAAUAUGCCUCUUACUAAGGGAUAACAAUUGGAAACGAUUGCUAAUACCUUAUAUUCCUUUUUAUCACAAGAUAAAAAGGGAAAGAUUUAUUGGUAAGAGAUUAGCCUGUAUUGUAUCAGUUAGUUGGGGGGGUAAUGGCCUACCAAGACGAUGACGCAUAACUGGUUUGAGAGGAUGAACAGUCACACUGGAGCUGCGACACGGUCCAGACUCCUACGGGAGGCAGCAGUGGGGAAUAUUGCACAAUGGACGAAAGUCUGAUGCAGCAACGCCGCGUGGAGGAUGACACAUUUCGGUGCGUAAACUCCUUUUAUAUAAGAAGAUAAUGACGGUAUUAUAUGAAUAAGCACCGGCUAACUCCGUGCCAGCAGCCGCGGUAA